CCUACGGGGAGCUGCAGUGGGGAAUAUUGGACAAUGGGCGAAAGCCUGAUCCAGCCAUGCCGCGUGUGUGAAGAAGGCCUUCGGGUUGUAAAGCACUUUCAGUGGGGAAGAAAGCCUUGGGGCUAAUACCCUCGAGGAAGGACAUCACCCACAGAAGAAGCACCGGCUAACUCCGUGCCAGCAGCCGCGGUAAUACGGAGGGUGCGAGCGUUAAUCGGAAUUACUGGGCGUAAAGCGCGCGUAGGCGGUCUGAUAAGCCAGUUGUGAAAGCCCCGGGCUCAACCUGGGAACGGCAUCCGGAACUGUCAGGCUAGAGUGCAGGAGAGGAAGGUAGAAUUCCCGGUGUAGCGGUGAAAUGCGUAGAGAUCGGGAGGAAUACCAGUGGCGAAGGCGGCCUUCUGGACUGACACUGACGCUGAGGUGCGAAAGCGUGGGUAGCAAACAGGAUUAGAUACCCGGGUAGUC
rnacentral:rRNA from 1 species